rnacentral:lncRNA from 1 species
GGAGAUCUGGAGAGAAAAAGACAGAUUAACAAGAUUUAGCGAUAUUACAAAAUUCUAUCAAAUCAGAGGCGAUAUUACCACCGCCUCACAUUAAACUGAACAGAGCUGAGUCCGUUGCUUGGAGGCGAUUACUAACAGAAACCUAUACGAGUCCCGUGCAAUUAAAGACUUUCUACCCCGAGAUAUACGCGAGCGACAUAUGCAAGCUAUGCAAGUCUGCUAAAGCCACUCUUCGACACAUGUUGUGGGGAUGUAAAAUAUAUCAAGAUAAAAUGGCAGUCUCCCCGGAAGAUCUGCAGGCGUGGUAGACGGCCGUGCUACACAGCUCAAAACUCCAAGACCAAGUUUGGGCCGUCCAGCGAGCCAUGGAGGCCGUGCGGGAGCAACAGCUCCCAGUGGCCAUCUAGGCGGCCCCAGGCCCAGGCCUCCCAAUCGCCGGAUUUCAAAUAAAGUUAUUACAAAACACAAUAAGGUUCAAAGAAAA